GAUCACAUCCACAUCAAGAUUCAGAAGGAGGCACUUAAGUACAAGGACCACAGAGUGUUCAAAUCCACUCUGAAGAAUCUUGAAGAGGAUCCAUUGAUGAUGAGCACCUUUGUCUUAAACUGCUGUCAGUCAUUUGUAAUUAAAUACUGGAACAUCGUCCAGGACCAUAUACGAUCGAAAGAACAGCUGCACCCAGACAAACUGUCUCUGCUGGUUUGUGACCUCAUGGUGGGGGAGAUUAUGACUCAUCUGAGGCCUACCUUGACUUUCUCCAAAGACACUAAAGAUGGGGACAACCGGCCGUACUGCAUUAAUGUCCCGGUCAAAAGAGAUACCAGCUCUCCAGAUGAUGCAGACAAGACCAAGCUGGAGCUUCGCAUUGAGAAAGCUAGGGCUGACCAAAUGAAGGAACUUCUCGUCCCAUCGGAACCCAAAGACCACUCAUGGGCGGCUUGGAUGGAAAUGAUGGAGGAGUAUGAGCAGUUUCAUAAGAAGAAAUCCUGUUGGGACUGGUUCUGUGGACUGUUUGGCCGGAAGAAAAAGACCACGUUUGAAAAAAGAGUGGAAGAUUUCGAAAAAUACUGUCGCAGGAGCAAUUAGAGUCCGACACACAAACAAACCAAAUGAAUUGAUUCACACACAUUCGACUUCCUCUGACAUCAAACAUACAAACCAAAAUGAUGUAUAUACAGUAUUUACAGUUUACAGUUAUUUACAGUUCAGCCUACCUCCAAACACACACAAACUAAAUGAAUUGAGACAUAAAACAUUUACAACUUAGACAUCCUCCAAACCCAAACAAACCAUAAUACAUUUUGUACACACACAUUUUGAACAUAAACUUCCCUGGACCAAACACAAACCAAAUGAAUUCAUACAAACACAUUUGCAACUUACACUUACUCCAAACCUAAAGAAACCAAAUGGAUUCAAAUACACACGUUGCAUCUUAAAGUUAGACUUCUUCUGACCACACACAAUCCAACUGGAUUCGCACAAACACAUUUACAACUUUCCCUUUCUCCGACCACAAACUCCACACAAGUAACCUGACUAACAUGUUUUAUUAUCCUUUGAUGAAAUGUACUCAAAGUCCCUACAGAUUUCCAGACUGUGAGAAACAUCUCAGCCAUUUCUUCUGCUGCUAUUAGAGAGAAAUACAUUGUGUCUCACUCUCUCUCUCUCCUUCUCUUCCUUUUCUCAUUUUCUCUGUCUCUCUCCUUUCUCUUUCAAGGCUGCUGUAGGAGACUGGGGCUUUGUCUGAAAACAUUAUCAGCUGUCAAGCCAAAGUGCCCCUCCCUCUGUCCAUGUUUGCUGGUUUCAGUUCUUCUCACAGCAAUCUUUUCACUACAUUGUUACAUUGUAUCUGCUACAUCUUACAAGGAAGCGUUUUGUACUACAAAGAAUAUUAUCCUGUAUUUUGCAGGAUUUAUUCUUCUUUUAUUGCACAUCUUCCUCUUCUGAAAUUAAAAAAUGUUCAUAAUA
ensembl:lncRNA